AUUGAACGCUGGCGGCAUGCCUUACACAUGCAAGUCGAACGGUAACAGGUCUUCGGAUGCUGACGAGUGGCGAACGGGUGAGUAAUACAUCGGAACGUGCCCGAGAGUGGGGGAUAACGAAGCGAAAGCUUUGCUAAUACCGCAUACGAUCUCAGGAUGAAAGCAGGGGACCGCAAGGCCUUGCGCUCACGGAGCGGCCGAUGGCAGAUUAGGUAGUUGGUGGGAUAAAAGCUUACCAAGCCGACGAUCUGUAGCUGGUCUGAGAGGACGACCAGCCACACUGGGACUGAGACACGGCCCAGACUCCUACGGGAGGCAGCAGUGGGGAAUUCUGGACAAUGGGCGCAAGCCUGAUCCAGCCAUGCCGCGUGCAGGAUGAAGGCCUUCGGGUUGUAAAGCCCUUUUGUUGGGAAAGAAAUCUUGCCGGUUAAUACCUGGCGAGGAUGACGGUACCCAAAGAAUAAGCACCGGCUAACUUCGUGCCAGCCGCCGCCGUAACAC
rnacentral:rRNA from 1 species